rnacentral:lncRNA from 1 species
UUAAACAUAUUUAAAUUGUUUUUAAUAGCUUUAAGUAAUUUUUUUGAGAAAUACGGUCCAUUUUGAUUCAACUGGACUUGGAAGUCCAAAACAAGUAACAAACAAAACCCAAACACAAUAAAUGUUAAGACAAAACCCAAACCAAACAAAAGCAAAACAUCACCCAACAAAAAGUCAAAUAGGAAAACAAAUUAGAGACAGUAAAGUAACAAAGGAAAGCACAAAAACACAUCUAGAAGCUUCUUCCAAACCCUUCAGUGACCAGCAACCCAAAACGGCCAAAAACCUUACCAAGAUUGGCAAUCGGAGCCACCAACUAGAGGAAUAGAGUUGAGAUUCAACGCUUAGAGUGACAAACAUUCUCAACUGAGAACUUCGAACAGAUAGGGAGGCAACUACAGCGGUUGGUGGAAACGACGAUUUAGAUCAGUCAGUUCCAAAACCCGAAGCAGAGCAUCCUCUACCCAAAAGGAAUCCUCCGAGCGCUUCAUUCCAUUAGGUACCAUCGCAUACACUGUUGUAUUUCCUUCUUUAGCGACAAAUUCGAAAUGACAAGAUGUGAAACCCCUCACUAGAUUCUUUACAUCCUGUUUCAUUAUCAAAAUUUAAGUAGAAGAAAAUUGGGAGAGAAGAAGAAGAACAGAGAAGAAGAGAGAAUUUUGAAUUAAGAAGAGAGAAUUCUGAAUUAUUUGUGUACUUUGCAUAACUAUUUUUCUGCAUACAUCUCAGACUUAAAAAGGAAAAUAACAGAAAAAGAAUGUGGGUUCAUUCUGUUACCAUCAAAAUGCUCUGUUUCACUAAUUCUUUACGCACCGUUUUGUUUAAUUGCAACUAACCACUUAAACUGACAUUUUACCCUCCUUAUUUCUAUUUAAUAUUCUAGCCCAUAACAUACUGCCUCCUAGAAAAAAAUCCUUGUCCUCAAGGAUGAAAGUGAGGAAAAUUGGCCUGAAGUAGGUGGAGAUGUUCCCAAGUAGCAUCUUCAGGAAAAGAAUCAAUCCAUUCAACUAGAACUUCUGUAACAGAUGUGCUCCCUCUUUUGACUAUCCUUCUAUCCACAAUUCGGACUGGCUCUUUCUCCAUUGUACCGUAAGCAUCAACCAAUAAUAUGAGCUCCCUCUUUAGGAAUGAAGGCAACGAAAAAGUAGCCUUAUGCAUCUCAGAGUUGUAAUAUCUAAGUUCUCUCUUAUGCUGAUGAGCUCCUUCUAACUUUUCAAUAGGGUUAAUGGGAUUCAAAAAAUCAACUGCUGGCCCCUCUGUUGAGCAUAUCAAAAAACCAAUCACAGCACUUGGAUAUGUUGGAACACUCGCCCAUGCACAAUGAAUAGAACCUUUGAAUAUUUCACGGAAAAUAGAGAUCAUAUCAUCAAUUAGAUGUGUAUGAAGCCACACACUCUCUUCCAUGUUACAUAGGACACCGCUAGGCCUUAAAGCUCUAGCUAACGUAUCAAAAAAUGGUUUCUCUACAAGCUCUUGAGCAGGACCUACAAGAUCUGAUGAAUCAACAAUGAUUGCAUCAUACGUCCCUUCUGGAACAUUACGAAGAAACUCAACAGCAUCACCAACAUGAAAACAAACACGGGAGUUUUCAAAUCCAGUAGCCAGUUCUGGAAAAAAACUUCUUAGAAACCUCUAUAACCAUCCUAUCUAUUAUCAAUGUGCUUAGCAGAGCUGUGCUGAGAAAUCUCUGUAAGAACCCCACCAUCACCACCUCCCACAACCAGAACAGUUUUGGGAGAUGGAACUGAGCAAAGGGGAAGAUGAGUUAUCAUCUCCCGAUAUGCAAAUACAUCCUUCUUAUUCAGCUGAACUAUACCAUCAAGAACAAGCACCUUCCCGUAGCUUGAUGACUAAAAAAUAAGAACCUCUUGAUAGUUUGACCUUGCUUUGUACAAAUUACUUUCAACUUUCAGAGAAUGUGCUUCUUCUUAUUGUUUCAAAUUCACCAGCUCUUUCAUGGGGUUGCCAAACUGUCCAAACCCAAAACGAUCCUGUAGACUCUUCAUGUAGGCUGGCCAUGACAACAUUUGAAGAUCAACAUUAUGUUGGGAAUAAAAUUGAUGCCAUUCCAGUGCUCGUCCCUCCAAAUUUAGCAUAACCGUGCAAAUCUUGUUAGAUUCUGGUGUACCCUCAGCUUCAAACUACUGUUCCAAUUUAGUCCACCAUCCUCUAAAAUCACUGCAAUCGAACCUAGGACAUUCAAUCCUACUUGUCUUUGCCGACGCGCCACCCAUAUAUGACUGAUUCUAUCGGUACACACUACUUGCCUCUGUCAGUUUAGGAUCCACUAGCGCCUGUGGAAACUUUGUCUCUUUAGGUAAAAACUCAAGGGAAGCACCUAAGACUCCUUUUCCCUUGUCUGUGGCACCGUUACCAAGAGAUCCAGUUGGUGGAGGACCAAAAUGUUGGCCCAGCAACGCCUGUAAGUCCCCACGAAACUCCUCCUUAAACUCCUGAAAUUUGGUGUCCAUCUUAGCUUCUAAAUGAAACAUCGCUUCUUGUAGUUUGAAAAUUUCUUGUUGCAUGCUGCCCACCUCCUUCUGUAAUCGAGUUAAAACACCAUCGUUGGCCAUUGUAGGGAUUGAAAAAGCUCUGAUAACUUUGUUGCGUUAUUAAAAUUUAAGUAGAAGAAAAUUAAGAGAGAAGAAGAAGAACAGAGAGGAAGAGAGAAUUCUAAAUUAAGAAGAGAAAAUUCUGAAUUAUCUGUGUACUUUGCAAAAUUAUUUUUCUGUAUACAUCUCAAACUUAAAAAGGAAAAUAACAGCAAAAGAAUGUGGGUUCAUUCUGUUACCAUCAAACACUCUGUUUCACUAAUUCUCUACGCACCGUUUUGUUUAAUUGCAACUAACCGCUUAAACUGACAUUUUACCCUCCUUAUUUCUACUUAAUAUUCUAGCCCAUAACACAUCCCAGGUAAUCGGUCUCAUCUCUAAAUAAUCCUUCAUAGAUGCUUGGAGAUUCCUAAUAACCAUUUUUGAAUUACUUUUUGGGAUUACUCUCAAGAAACCCAUAUCCCUCAUGAACUGAAGACCAUGCAAAACAACCACUUUUUCGACUAACACCACCUUCUUAACAAGGUUAUGCAUUUUGAAUCUCAAACCCAUUAAAUUUCCAUCAUCAUUCCUAAUUAGAAACCCUAAUACUACGUGAUGAUUUGCCUCAAAAAACCCAGUGUUCACAUUCACUUUGACCCAAUUCAUAGGCAGUGGCUCCCAUUUAAUCAAGACUCGAGGUUUGGGAUGCUUCAAUAUACCAGUCAUCUCCCUAUAAUCCCUACCCUAUCCCUGAAUAAAGGUAAUAACCUCCUUCGCACUUCGUGUUUUUCUAUCAUUAAGUAACUUGUUGUGGGCAAACUAGAUUGCCCAUAUUGUAAUGGCGAUUUCCUCUUUAGUAUUACUGGCAGAAUUUACGAAUAACCAAUUUAACCAUUCGUUAAAAUUCAAAUCCGCAACAUAACUUGGCCAUCGAUAAUUAAACUUUGACCAUACUUGCAUAGAAAACGUGCAGUCUCGCACAACAUGAACAGUCGAUUCACUACAAUUUCGACAGCGUGUGCAAUUAUUUUCGUGCAAAAUUCUUCUAAAAUGAAAAUUGUUAGCCAAUCUCCAUAGUAAAAUGCGAAUUUUUUCAAAGCACAUUACACUCCAAAUUUGCUUAAAAUUAAACUGCUCCAAAUUACUCAAACUCUAAAAGGGCUUUAUAACCAGUUUUGACAAAAUAAGUACCCGAAUUUUCUCUAAUCCAAACCGCUUUAUCGAAUUGAUUUGUAGUAGGGAGAGGGAUACUUACAAUCUUAUUUCCUUCUUCCACCAGAAAUGUUGAAUAGAUUAGUUGUCUAUCCCAUCAAUUUGGAUUUAGGAUAAUCAAAUAAUUCAAAUACUCCAAUCCCUCAACUCUACUCGAACUAACUUGUGCUCCACUCCUUCCCAGUAGCUAAUUAUCCUCCCAUAUCAAAAUUGAUAACCUUUAACCAAUCCUCCACCCAAGACCAGAUUUUAGCAGAUCUUUGGAACACCAUAUACUUCUCCAAAUCAGAGAUGGGUUAAAACCCAAUGGGGCAUCUAAAAAGUUAGACCUAUAUAAUACUUUACUCGAAGUAAUCUGGCUGUUAAAAAGUCUGGAGUUUCUAUCAGUUGCCAUCCUUGCUUUAAUAAUAAAUUAAAUUUCGGAAACCCAUACAUCUAUCCCCUUUUAGAAUACAGUGAGUUCCAAGAACACCAAUGUAAACCCUUUCAUCUAGUUUUAUUUUGUCACCAAAAUCUAGCAAUAACCACUUCAAGUUAUUUACAAAAAGAAUUGGGUAGUAAAAAAUAAGACAUUGCAAACAUGGGGAUUGCCUGAAACACUUGUAAUACCCUUAACCCGUCUCUAUUACCGAAUUAGAGUUACGAGUGUUAUUGAGAAGAAUAGAACAUUUCACUUCAUUUUAGAACAAUUAUACAAAUAAUUUAUAACAUAUAACAAAUAGACUAAUUCAUGAUAUAAAUACACCUAUGGGCCUUAAAAUGGGCUUACGAGGCCUUAAAAACAGUUUGAGGAUGAUCUAGGAUCAAAUCGAAACAAAAUAGAAAAUUUUAGAAAAAAUUAAAAUUUUCAAAAUAGAUGUCACACGACUGUGUGACUAAGCCAAGACCGUGUGAACAUUCGAAGUCUGGACACAAAGUCGUGUCCUAGCUCGUGUGUUCGCCUGUGUGAAUAUUCAAAAUAGGGUCAUACGACUGUGUCACAAGUCAUGUGCCAAAUCGUGUGUGAAUUCGAAGUUGGGUCACACGGUUGUGUCGCAGGUCGUGUAACAAUCUGUUUUGGCUCACACGGUUAUGUCACGGACCAUGUGCAAGGUCAUGUGGAUAUUUCACUUAAAAUCAAUAAUUACACAUUGUCGUGCAUGGUGACAGUGUGUGGCACACAGUCGUGUGACAACUCGUGUCCUAGGCCGUGUGCACCAUUUUUUACCAGUAAACCAAGCAAUCUCAUACACCAUUCCUUGCACAGCAAGACAUACCAUAUCUAUAUCAAUUUUUAGGUUCAAAAACACAUUCAAAUCAUCAAUUACAUGCUAAAAUUUCAUCCAUAUUGCCUAACCAAUAUGUCAUUCAAAGGCAUCGCAAUUAAAGAUUAUUAAUUCAAAUAACCAAAAGAACACAUGACAUUUACCACCUAUUCAUAAUUAAUCUUCAACCAAAAUGACACAAACAUGAGCACUUUCAUCAAGUUAUCAUUAUAGGCAUCAUGACCUAAAUCAUAGUCUUAAGGCUUAUAACCUAAGUAUAUUAAAUACAUACCUUCAAAAUAACCAUUUCACUAACAUAACCUUUAUAGAAUAACAUUUACAUAUUCACAACAAAACACCUAUAUAUAUACAUGCCACAUCCCAAAAUGAAAUAUAACAACUACUAAAUAGUUGGAUAAUGUGGGCUUUUUCUGAUCCGUCUAGUCAGUCCACAACUUAGACAACUACAAAAGAUUAUAAAUGGAACAAGUAAGUUUAAGAAGCUUAGUAAGUUCAUAGUUUAAGUCAUCAAACUAAACCUACCUUAAUUGUCAUAAAAAAUAUAAAGAGAUAACAUACAAUUUCUGAUAGCCAAAUACACAUUCACAAAUCUCAUUAGUUCAUGAUCACAUAUUAACGUAUAACAUGAUAAUCCUCAUCACAAAUAACUUAUCAAUUCCAUAAUUAGCAUAUCAUCAAUAUAAAUAUGCUCAUAUAUAAACAAAUAUUUCAUUGAACAUUUAACACUUUUAAAUAUCUUCAAUAUGCAUUAACAUUUAAAUCCACAAGUCAACUAUACAUUAACAUUUAGCCUGAUGAACUAAGUAACUCGACUCAGGUAACUACACCACACCAGAGGCAUUAUAGAUGUAUAACAAAGGCAUCGAAGUGCAGACAGAGGCACAAAUGUGCGAUCAGAGGCAUCGAAGUGCAAACAGAGGCACCAGAGUGCAAAUCCCAUACAAACGCACAUAGUAACCUUAUUGGCAUGUCAAUCGUAUCCUACACAAUUGCUAAGUUUGACCGGGCAAAAACCAAAAUUCUAUUUCUAUUAUAUCAAUUCAGAGGCACUUCGUUAUUUUUCAUACACAUAUGGUAUUUUAAUUAUAAACACUUUCAUAAUAAGAAAUCAUCAAGAUACCACCAUCAAUCGUAUAUUUCCAUACAUAUUUAGUUGUAUAUUGCAACCAUAUAUCCCUAUCUAUUGAAUUUUCACAAGAUUGAUAAUUAAUCACAAGAAACAUAUAUUUUCAUAUUGAAAUACUAUGAACGUACCUACGGUCACUCCCAAUUUCACAGUAGGGACUACUCUAUAAUUUUUCUUUUUUCACGAUUAUUAUCUUUUUUAUUCAAGUCUUGAUAUAAAAUAAUAAGUAAAUAUCCUCUAUUAAUUUAACAUACAAUUCAUGCUUAAUAUAAUGCAUAUGACCUUUAAUUUUUUAUUAAUUACACAAUUUCUCUAAACGUUUACAUCAUUUACAAUUUAGUCCCUACCUUCAAAAUACAAAAAUUAACAAAACUUUAUAACAUAACUUGCUAGUCGAAUUUUUACCCUACCAUAUUUAGCCCACAUUUAUUCUAAAUUCAAAAAAAUUCCCUAUCAAUUCUAACAUUUAACCAAUUUAAUCCUUUACUCAAAAAUAACACAAACUACUUUAUAAAAUACUCAUAAUCAACAACAAAUAACUCAAAUCUAUUAUUUAACAUCAUGAACAUCAAGAACUUACCAAUGGUAACAUCUAAAAUCUUUAACAGUUUCAAAAACGGAUGUCUGGGUUAGCUGGACCUAGUUGUAAUGUUCACAAAAACAUAAAAAUUACAAAAAAUGGUAUAAAAAUUAGUCACAUGCAUACAUCAAAUGCUUGGUCGAACCCUAAGAUUCAUAAAAUGGUGUUUAUCCCUUUUCAAUUUCGGCUGACCACUUGUGGAAGAUGAUGAUUCAAGUUUUUUUAUUAUUUUACUUAAAAUUUCAUUUAUUAAAUCACGAAUUUGCCCUCAAUCAUAAUCUUACAAUUUCAUUUUAAAAAGGCCACUAACCAUCUAUUUACAUCUCUAAUGGACUAAUCGCAUCAUAAAUCUUCUUUCUUUGAAUAACUAAGCUAUUAAAUUAAUUUAAUUCAAUAAUUACUAACUUUUGUGACUUUUACAGUCUAAUCCUUUUCUUCAAUUAACUAACGUUAAAAUUUAUUUUCCAAAAAUUUAAUGACUCUAAAUGUGACUCCACAAAUAUUACUUAAACAAUAAAAAAAUUCACAUAUCAGAAUUGUGGUACUGAAUCCACUGUUUCUAGCACCAUUGAAAAAUGGGAUAUUACAACUCACCCUAAAAAAAUUUUCAUCCUCAAAAAUCUUACCAGAGAAAAGGUUCGAAUAUUAAUUUUUCAUAAUUUCUUUUGUCUCCAAUUAGCUUUCUCUAUUCCAUGUCGUCUCCAAAUAACUUUAACUAACGGCAUAGAUUUAUUUCUCAAUUCUUUAAUUUCCUGAGCUAGAAUCUUUAUCAGUUCCUCAUCAUAAGUUAGAUCAGUCUAUAACUCAAUUUCAUCUGUAGUCAAAACAUGUGACGGAUCCGAACGAUAACGUCGAAGCAACGAAACGUGAAAAAUAUUAUGAAUUUUAUCAAGUUUCGGAGGUAAUGCUGAGCGAUACGCUACAGCUCCGAUUCUUUCUAGCACUUUGUACAGUCCAAUAAAUCUGGGAUUGAGGUUUCCUUUUCUACCAAAACGUAACACUUUCUUCCAGGGCGAGACAUUCAGAAACACUUUCUCACCAAUAGAAAAUUCCAUAUUUUUAUGUUUCAAAUUAGUAUAAUAUUUCUGAUGAUUAGAUGUAGCUUUCAAAUUAUCUCUGAUAACUCAAACUUUUUCUGUAGUUUCCUUAACUAAAUCAACCCCAGCUAAUUUUCUUUUAUUCAAUUUAGACCAAUAUAACAGAUUUCUACAUUUAUGCCUGUAUAAAGUCUCGUACGGAGCCACCUUUAUGCUCGAGUGAUAAUUUUUAUUAUACGGUAACUCGGCUAACGACAAAUAAUUUUCCCAUCUAUAUUCAAACUCAAUAACACAACACUGUAACAUAUCUUUUAAAAUUUGUAUUAUUCGCUUAGACUGGUCAUUUGUUUACGGAUGAAAAGUAGUACUAAAAUUCAACCUUGAAUCGAGAGCAUUAUGUAAUUUAGCCUAAAAUCGAGAAGAAAACUACGAGUCACGAUCGGAUAUAGUCAACAGUGGUACACUAUGCAAUCUCACUGUAACAGCCCGUUUUUGGUUAAAUCGGAACAGUGAUUUCAGGACCACAAAUUCGAGGUUGAAAUAUUUAUUUUAUUAUUAUUUUAAUGUUUACAACAUGACUAUGUGAUUGUGUGAAAGUUUCAUUUAGAAAUUUUAUCGUUUGGUUGGUCAAUUCGAUAAAAAAACUAAAUCGCGUAAAAUGCAAAAAUAUUGUUCUAAUAGUUAAAGAUAUCUAUUAGCUAUAAAACCUUAAAUUUAAGGUCUUAAAGUGAUAAUUAACCCAUUAGUGAGUUAAUGGAUGAUAAUGGUUUGGCAUGUAGUGAAAUAACAAAUAUUCAUUAAGGGUACAUUUGUAAUUUGGUAAUUAAACAUAAAGUAAAUAAAACAAAAUGAUAAAAUAGUGUCCAUCUUUCAUCUAGCCGAAAAUUUGAAGAAGAAAAAGCUAUGGAAAUAGCUUGAAAGUUUUGUUCAUUGUUCUUGCUUAAUUGUAAGUCAUUUUUUACUCCGUCUUUAAUGAUUUUUACAUUUUUAGGAUUGUUGCAGCUAGGUCUAGCUAGACCAGGGGCUAUUUUUCAAAACUGUUAAAGAUUUUGAAAGCUGUCAUUGAUGAAUAUGUAUUAUUUUUUAUGUUUGAUGAUAGAUUAUUAAUAUUUAUUAUGAAUUAUACAAGUUUUGUAAAGUGAUUUUCAGUAAAAAUGCAAAAUAGGGAUUAAAUUGAUAAAUAUGUAAAGUUAGUGGUUAAAAUGUGAAAUAAAUAAAGAAAUAUGGGCUGCUAGGGGCAUAAUAGUAAUUUGGAUAGCAUGGGUUUAUUGUGAAUUUCAUUAAUUUAUGAUUUUAUGAAAUAAGGACUAAAUUGUGAAAAAUGUGAAAUAUUAGGGGCAAAAGUGUAAAUGUGUUUUAAAGUGUGUUUUAGAUUAAAUUGAAUAGAGAGAUGAUUAAAUAAGUUAAUUUUAAUUAUAUUUAGAUCAAAAUAGGAGAAAUACGGACUUGGAUUAGGGAAAAGAUAAAGUUAUCGACUAAUCGACUCAUUUCGUUGUUUACACAUCCAAGGUAAGUUCGUAUGUGAUAAAUUUCAAUACAAAUGUAUUCCACGUGCUUUGAUAUUGUAUAAAUUGCAAAUAGGAGACUGAGGAUAUGAACGAUAGUGCUUCGACGACGAUUCGACAUUCGAAAUACAGGUUAAACCUUAGGAAUAGUUUAGGAUACUAGUGACAUGUCAUUAAGGGAUUUAUUGAGUGUGAUAUAGCACUUUUGGUGUGAGAUAUACUGAUUUGGCUUCGGGCCGUGCAUAUCGGCUGAUUUGGCUUCGGGCCAUGAUAUCAGUAUUUUGGAUAAUUUACCUUGAUUUGGCUACGGGCCAUGGUAUAGGUACUUAUCGUGUGAGACCCUUGAGUAUCCGACUUCUAUUCCAAAUGGUUUAACGGGUAAAUAAAAGAUAAGAAUGGUAUAAGAUCGUUAAGAGACGGUAUAAGUAUGUGUAUCUACCAUAUUAGCUAUGAAUCGAAGAAAUGUUGAAGAUAGUAUAUAACUUUGUGAAUGAGAAAUGGAAAGGUUUGUUAGUUGAUGUAAAUACAUGUAUCUAUAUUCAAUUCUUGAAUUAUAUGUUUAUGAUUAUUAUCGAAUUUAUUUCAUACGAGCUUACUAAGUUUUAAAGCUUUCUUUGUUUAUUUUUCCUGUGUUUUAUAGUGUUAUCAAAGCUAGCUCGGAUUAGGGGAUUACCUGAGAUCGCUUCACACUAUCUGUCCAUCUUUUGGUAUCGAUGAAUUUUGGUAUUUUUAGUAUAUAGCAUGUAUAGGAACUUGGUAUUUUUGGUAUUGGUGGUGUUAUGAAUUUGGCCAUUUGUGUUGGCUUAUAAAAGUUGUGUUUAUAAUGUUGUAUAUGGUUAUGUAAGUUGACUUAUUUGGCUUGGUUGGUGAUAUAUGUAUAUAGGUAUGCUAAUGCCAUUUUGUGAUGUGGUUUAUAUUGCUUGUGGAAGGGUUAAUUGUGGAUUAUUAGUUGGAGUAGCUAUUGGUUGAAUUUGAGAUUUGGUAUGCUUGUGGUUCUAGGUAAAUGAAUGGUUGAAAUGUCUGAGAGUAUAGAUCAAAUAAUGAAUAUUUGUUAAUGGUCAUUUUGUUGAUUUGGGAAGAUAAAGUUUGUUAUGAAUUUUGGAAGGCAUAAUGUGGUAGUUAUGUUUUGUAUUGAUUGGUGUUUGAAAUGGUAUACGUUAUGCUUGAUUUGGAAUUGAAAUAUAUGCUUAUUGAUGCUAUGUUAUGUGCCAUAUUAGUUGUGUAGGUGUGCCUAAGUUUGGGUGGCAAAUUGGUUUGGUAAAUAGCCUAUUUUUUUCCAUACGGAUAGAGACAGGGGCUUAUGUCUCAACCGUGUGUGGCACACGGUCAAGGACAUGGUUGUGUGUCCUCUAGUGUUGAUUUUGAAAUCAAAUCAGUAUGCUCCACACGGCCUCACACACGGGCGUGUGACUUGGUCGUGUGGCAUAAGUCAGUAUACCUAUAGGUUUGGCAUGGCCUAGCACAUGGCCUGGCACACGGGCGUGUGUGUUGGCCAUGUGACCCAAGUUAGAAAGUUACACAGGGUUGGACACAGGCUAGUACACGGCCAUGUGCUCUUAUUUCGAAUGUUCACACGACCUCCCUAGGCUUGUGUCUCCUGUUUUAAGGAAAAAAUUAAAAGUUUCGUGAAAGUUUCUUAAGUUAUUAGUUUAGUUCCGAACCACUCCCAAAGUAUUUUUAGAGCCUCAUAGGCUCGUAUUAGAGACUAAUUGAUUGAGAUUGAAUAAUGAAUCCUUGAAUUGAGAAAAUGUGUGCUAAAUGGAUGUUUAUUUGUUUUGUAAGUCUAAUAAUACUCCGUAAUACUAUUCCAACAUUGAAUACGAGUGAAAUGUGUUAUAUUUAUUGGUAUCAGAGCUACGAUUUAGUCGAUUCUAGAACUAACAUAGCGUGAGUGAGAGUCUAGGUAUACAUGCCAUAUAUAUAAACUGUGAUAGUGUGAUGACUCUUGACAUUUUAAAAUGUAUUUUCAUAUAGUAAAUGGAUGUUAAUCGAGCUUUAGCUGAUGAGGUUGAGAAUAAUGCGUUAGCUCUUGUUCAAGGGACAGCGCCGUCUGAUUCUAGACCCAUAUCGGGUAGCUAGGGAGAAGAGGCUAAAGAAGCCUUCUUCCAAAUGAUGAACGAAUGGUUCACACAAUAUAUUCGAAUGAACCUGGCUGCUCAACAACCUUCACCCUUUCCUAAUCCCCAACCGAUUCUCGUAGCUCCUCAAGGAGUUAAGCUUUUAAGAUUAAAUAAGCUUCUAUUUGAUAAGAUCUGUGAACACUAGACUUAAGAGUUUAAAGCUAAUGUUGAUGAUGAUCCUGAGAGAGCUGAGUUUUGACUUGAAAAUACAAUUCGGGUGUUUGAUAAGCUUUCUUGCAUACCUGCUGAAGGUUUAAAAUGUGUUAUAUCACUUCUGAGAGACAUCGCAUACCAAUGGUGGAAUACAUUAGUAUCAGUGGUGCUGAGAGAGAGGGUCACCUGGAAGUUCUUUUAGACCGAGUUCAGGAAGAAAUACAUAAGUCAACGAUUUUUGGAUCAAAAGCACAAAGAGUUUUUAGAACUAAAACAAGAUAGUAUAACUGUAACCGUGUACGAAAGAAAAUUUGUGAGAUUGAGUAAAUAUGCUUGAGAGUAUGUUUCUACUGAAGAGAUUAUGUACAAGCGGUUUGUUGACGGGUUGAAUGAAGAUAUUAAACUUCUGGUCGGGAUUCUAGAUUUGAAGGAAUUUGUUGUAUUGGUUGAUUAGGCUUGUAAAGCCAGAGAUUAUAGCGAGAAAAGAAGAAAGCUGAUUCAGAGGCUAGAGAUUCGAAAAAAGACUGAUGAGUAAACCUUACCAUUCUUCAUCAAAGAAAUUUCGAGAUUUGUAUAGUCGAUCAAAUGCAUCAGUGGGAUAUCAUAAUAGGGAUCGUGGAAAUCAACAUGUGAAUCCUAAAGCUCAAACUACUUCUGUCUCGAGCGUUGGCAGUGUAAGAAAUAUCAAACCCAAGUGUCAACAGUGUGAGAGACGUCAUUUUGGAGAGUGUUGGAAUAAGAAUGUUAAAGUUUGUUUUAAAUGUGGCUCACCAGAUCAUUUUAUUCGAGAUUGCCCAGAGUUAUUUGAGAAAAAUAAAUUUUAGUAUGCAAGAUCGAGUAAUAUGAUUGCGAGAGGGAGACCAUCGAGAAAUACAGGGAAUGUGUCCAGUGGUAGAUGUGUGACUAGGAAUUCUACUGUGAGAUCUGAAGCUAGAGCACCAUCCAGAGCUUACUCUAUUCGCACCCACGAAGAAGCGUUGUCGCCAGAUGUUAUCACCGGUACAUUUUCUCUUUACGACACUAAUGUGAUUUCUUUAAUUGAUCAUAGAUCGACAUAUUCGUAUGUUUGUGAGAAUUUAGUAUCUAGUAAGAAAUUGCCUAUUGAGUCUAUAGAAUUUGUAAUUAAAGUAUCAAACCCCUUAGGCAAGUAUGUUCUAGUUGACAAAGUAUGCAAGAACUAUCCUUUAAUGACUCGGGGUUACUGUUUUCUAGCUGACUUGAUACUUUUACCAUUUGAUGAGUUCGAUGUGAUUCUGGGUAUGAAUUAGUUGACUCUGCACUAUGCCAUUGUGAACUGUAGACUAAAGGUUAUAGAAUUGAAAUGUCAGAAUACUGAAAUUCUUUGGAUUGAAUCUGAUGAGCUGGGUGGAUUGUUUAUAGUGAUUUCAUCGAUGUUGGAUCAAAGAUAUGUGAAAAAAUGUUACGAUACGUACCUAGCAUAUGUUUUAGAUACCAAAGUGUCUGAAAAGAAAAUUGAAUCAGUGUUUGUAGUUUACGAAUAUCAGGAACUUCACCGAUAUCUAUAGCUCCGUACAGAAUAGCUCCGACUAAGUUAAAAGAUCUGAAAGCUCAGUUGCAAGAGUUAAUAGAUAGAGGUUUUGCACGACCGAAUUUUUUGCCAAGGGGUGCGUUAGUAUUGUUCGCAAAGAAGAAAGAUAGGUCAAUGAGAAUGUGUAUAGACUAUCGUCAAUUCAAUAAGGUUACGAUAAAGAAUAGGUAUCCGUUACCGAGAAUAGAUGAUUCAUUUGGUCAGUUGAAAGGUGCAACAGUGUUUUUAAAGAUUGAUUUAAGAUUUGGCUAUUAUCAGUUACGGGUUAAAGACUCGGAUGUACCGAAAAUUAUGUUUGGAAUGAGGUGCAGACAUUAUGAUUUCCUUGUUAUGCCUUUUGGACUAACCAAUGCUCCUGCCAUUUUUAUGGAUUUAAUGAAUCGGAUCUUUAGAUCGUAUUUAGAAAGAUUUGUUGUUGUGUUCAUUGACGACAUUCUAAUCUAUUCACGAGAUGACUCUGAGCAUGCUGAGCAUUUGAGGAUUGCGUUGCAAACCUUGAAAGAUAAACAACUGUAUGCUAAAUUCAGCAAAUAUGAGUUUUGGCUUCGGGAAGUCAAAUUUUUGGGACAUAUUAUCUCGGUGGAUGGCAUUCUAGUUGAUCCGAAUAAUAUUUCUACAGUUAUUGACUGGAAACCACCUAGAAAUGUAUCCGAAGUCAGAAGCUUUCUGGGAUUGGCUGGUUACUAUUGACGUUUCGUUAAAGGGUUCUCGAUAAUUGCUACACCAAUGAUCAGACUGCUACAGAAAGAUGUAAAGUUUAAAUGGUUUGAGAAAUGUCCAUAGAGUUUCGAUUAAUUGAAAGUAUUGUUAACUGAGGCACCAGUGGGGUAAAGAAUUUGUGAUUUACAGCGAUGCGUCAUUGAACAGUUUGGGUUGUGUGUUGAUGCAAGAGAGAAAAGUAAUAGCUUAUGCCUCCAAACAGUUGAAAUCGCAUGAAAAGAACUAUUUGAUGCACGAUUUAGAGUUAGCCGCUACAGUUUUUGCAUUGAAAAUUUGGCGUCAUCAUUUGUACUGUGAAAAAUGUUACAUCUUUACUGAUCAUAAGAGUUUAAAGAAUAUUAUGACUUAGAAAUAUUUAAAUUUGCGACAACGGAGAUGACUCAAGUUAUUAAAAUAUUACAAGUUAGUGAUUGAUUAUCAUUUGGGGAAAGCUAAUUUAGUCGCAGAUGUUUUGAGUAGAAAAUCCCUAUUUGCUUUAAGAGCGAUGAAUACGAGAUUUCCUAUGACUAAUGAUGGUUUGAUUUUAGCUGAGUUAAAGGCUAAACUGAUUUUUCUUCAGCAAAUUUGUGAAGCUCAAAAGUGCGAUACAGAGUUGCAAGUUAAAAGAAAACAAUGCGAGUUGAAUUGUGAUUCAGACUUUCAAAUCGGAGCUGAUGAUUGUUUAAUGUUUCGAAACAAAAUCUAUGUACUGAGGAAUUUUGAGCUCAUUUAGAAAAUUUUGCACAAAGCACACAGUGGAUGUUCUUCUGUUCACCCGAGAAGUACUAAAAUGUAUAAUGAUUUGAAACAAUUAUAUUGGUGGUCGGGCAUGAAACGAGAUAUUUUAAAAUUUGUAUCGAGGUGUUUGAUUUGUCAACAAGUGAAAGCCGAGCAUCAAGUACCUUUAGGUUUAUUACAGCUUGUGAUGAUACCAGAAUGGAAAUGAGAUAGAGUGACUAUAGAUUUCGUAUCGGGAUUACCCAUGUCUCUGAAAAAGAAAGAUACAAUUUGGGUUGCAUUGAUCGAUUGAUGAAAUCUGCACAUUUUAUUCUGAUACGUACUGAUUAUUCACUCGAUAGAUUAGCUGAAUUAUACAUUGCUGAAAUCAUUAGAUUUCAUGGGGUACCAAUUUCGAUUAUUUCAGAUAGAGAUCCGAGGUUUACGUUGCGGUUUUGGAAGAAAUUGCAAGAAGCUUUGGGUACGAAGUUGAAUUUUAGUAUAGCUUUUCAUCCACAAACCGAUAGUCAAUUUGAGAGAGUAAUUCAGAUUCUUGAAGACAUGCUCUGAUGUUGUGUUUUAGAGUUCGAGGGAAAUUGGGAGAAAUAUUUAUCGCUGGUUGAAUUUUCGUAUAAUAACAGCUUUCAAUUGAGCAUAAAGAUGGCACCGCAUGAAGCUUUGUGUGGUCGCAAAUGUAGUACUCCAUUGUACUGGACCGAGCUUAGUGAGAAACAGAUUCACGGGGUUGAUUUGGUUAGAGAAACUGAAGAAAAAGUGAAAGUAAUUCGUGAUUGUUUGAAAGCAGCUUCAUAUCGUUAGAAAUCGUAUGCGGAUUUGAAACGGAAAGAUAUUGAAUUUCAGAUUGAUAAUAAAGUAUUUCUAAAAGUAUCUCAGUAGAAGAAAAUACUUCGUUUUGGUCGCAAAGGCAAGUUGAGUUCGCUUUUUAUCGGAUGGUAUGAGAUCAUUGAAAGAAUAGGGCCAGUAGCAUGUCGAUUAGCCUUACCAUCGGAGUUAGAAAAAAUUCAUAAUGUAUUUCAUGGAUCGAUGUUGCACCGAUGAUCCAUCACAUGUGAUUUCUCCGUCAGAGAUUGAGAUUCAACUUGAUAUGACAUACAACGAAGAACCGAUCAGAAUUCUAGCACGUGAGGUUAAACAGUUGAAAAAUAAAAGCAUAGAUUUAGUGAAAGUAUUGUGGUAACGUCACAGUGUUGAAGAAGGUACGUGGUAGCCUGAGGAAGCUAUGAGAAAACAGUACCCUAACUUUUUCACUGGUAAGAUUUUCGGGGACGAAAAUCUCAAAGGGGGGAGAGUUGUAACAACCCAUUUUUGGUCAGAUUGGAACAGUAAUUUUGAGACCAUAAAUCUGAGGUUGAAAUAUUUAUUUUACUAUUAUUCUAAUGUUUACAGCAUGAAUAUGUAAUUUUGUGAAAGUUCCGUUUAGAAAUUUUAUCGUUUGGUUAGCCAAUUCGAUAAAAAGGACUAAAUCGCGUAAAGUGCAAAAGUACUAUUCUAAUAGUUAAAGGUAUCUAUUAGCUAUAAAACCUUAAAGUUAAGGUCCUUCAGUGAUAAUUAACCCAUUAGUGAGUUAAUGGAUGAUAAUGGUUUGGCAUGUAGUGAAAUAAAAAUAUUCAUUAAGGUUAUAUUUUUAAUUUGGUAAUUAAACAUAAAAUAAAUAAAACAAAAUGACAAAAUAGUCUCCAUAUUUCAUCUAGUCGAAAAUUUGAAGAAGAAAAAGCCAUGGAAAUAGCUUGAAACUUUCAGCCAUUGUUCUUGCUUAAUUAUAUGUUAUUUUUGACUCCGUUUUUAAUGAUUUCUACGUUUUUGAGAUUGUUGCAGCUAGGUCUAGCUAGACCAGGGGCUAUUUUGCAAAAUUGUUAAAGAUUUUGAAAGAAGUCACUGAUGAAUAUGUAUGAGUUUGAUGUUUGAUGAUAGAUUAUGAAUAUUUAUUAUGAAUUAUACAAUUUUAUAAAGUAAUUUUUAGUGUAAAUACAAAAUAGGGAUUAAAUUGAGAAAUGUCUAAAGUUAGUGGUUAAAAUGUGAAAUAAAUGAAAAAUAUGGGCUGCAAUGGGUUUAUUGUGAAUUUCAUUAAUUUUUGAUUUUAUGAAAUAAGGACUAAACUGUAAAAAAUGUAAAAUAUUAGAGGCAAAAGUGUAAAUGCGUUUCAAAGUGUGUUUUGGACUAAAUUGAAUAGAGAGAUGAUUAAAUAAGUUAAUUUUGAUUAUAUUUAGAUCAAAAUAGGAGAAAUACAGACUUGUAUCAGGAAAAAGAUAAAGUUAUCGACUAAUCGACUCAUUUUGUCGUUUACACAUCCUAGGUAAGUUCGUAUGUGAUAAAUUUCAAUACAAAUGUAUUCCAUAUACUUUGAUAUUGCAUAAAUUGCGAAUACGAGACUAAGGAUAUGAACGGUAGUGCUUCGACGAUGAUUCAACAUUCAAAAUCCCGGUUGAACCUUAGGAAUAGUUUAGGAUGCUAGUGACAGGUCAUUAGGGGAUAUAUUGAUUUGGCUUUGGGCCAUGAUAUAGCACUUUGGGUGUGAGGUAUACUGAUUUGGCUUCAGGCCAUGCAUAUCAGCUGAUUUGGCUUUGGGCCAUGAUAUUAGUAUUUUAGAUAAGUUACCUUGAUUUGGCUACAGGCAAUGGCAUAGGUACUUAUCGUGUGAGACCCUUAAGUAUCCGACUUUUAUUCCGAAUGGUUUAAUAGGUAAAUGAAAGAUGAGAAUGGUAUAAGAUCAUUAAGAGACGGUAUAGGUAUGUGCAUAUACCAUAUUAGCUAUGAAUCGAAGAAAUGUUAAAGAUAAUAUAUAACUUUGUGAAUGAGAAAUAAAAAGGUUUGUUAGUUUAUGUAAAUAUAUGUAUCUAUAUUCAAUUGUUGAAUUAUAUGUUUAUGAUUAUUAUCGAAUUUAUUUCAUAUGAGCUUACUAAGCUUUAAAGCUUACUUUGUUUAUUUUUCCUGUGUUUUAUAAUGUUAUCAAAGUUAGCUCGGAUUAGGGGAUUGCCCGAGAUCGCUUCACACUAUCCACCUAUCUUUUGGUACUUAUGAACUUUGGUAUUUUUAGUAUAUGGCAUGUAUAAGAACUUGGUCUUUUUGGUAUUGGUGUUGUUAGGAAUUUGGCCAUUUGUGUUGGCUUAUAAAAGUUGUGUUUAUAAUGUUGUAUAUGGCUACGUUAGUUGACUUAUUGGGUUUGGUUGGUGAUGUAUGUAUAUAGGUGUGCUAAUGCCAUUUUGUGUUGUGGUUUAUAUUGCUUGUAGAAGGGUUAAUUAUGGAUUAUUAGUUGGAGUAGCUAUUGGUUGAAUUUGAGAUUGGUAUACUUGUGGUUCUAUGUAAAUGAAUGGUUGAAAAUUUU